GGAAAAACGGCUAUAAGGGUGCGCUGCCCAAAUACAUGCAAGUCGAGCGAACGGAUAAGGGAGCUUGCUCCUUUGACGUUAGCGGCGGACGGGUGAGUAACACGUGGGUAACCUACCUAUAAGACUGGAAUAACUUCGGGAAACCGGGGCUAAUGCCGGAUAACAUAUAGAACCGCAUGGUUCUAUAGUGAAAGAUGGUUUUGCUGUCACUUAUAGAUGGACCCGCGCCGUAUUAGCUAGUUGGUAAGGUAACGGCUUACCAAGGCGACGAUGCGUAGCCGACCUGAGAGGGUGAUCGGCCACACUGGAACUGAGACACGGUCCAGACUCCUACGGGAGGCAGCAGUAGGGAAUCUUCCGCAAUGGGCGAAAGCCUGACGGAGCAACGCCGCGUGAGUGAUGAAGGCUUUCGGGUCGUAAAACUCUGUUAUUAGGGAAGAACAUAUGUGUAAGUAACUGUGCACAUCUUGACGGUACCUAAUCAGAAAGCCACGGCUAACUACGUUGCCAGCAGCCGCGGUAAUACGUAGGUGGCAAGCGUUAUCCGGAAUUAUUGGGCGUAAAGCGCGCGUAGGCGGUUUUUUAAGUCUGAUGUGAAAGCCCACGGCUCAACCGUGGAGGGUCAUUGGAAACUGGGAAACUUGAGUGCAGAAGAGGAAAGUGGAAUUCCAUGUGUAGCGGUGAAAAUGCGCAGAGAUAUGGAGGAACACCAGUGGCGAAGACGACCUUUCUGGUCUGUUACUGACGCUGAUGUGCAGAAAGCGUGGGGAUCAAACAGGAAUUAGAUACCCUCGCUGGUGCACACCGUAGACGAACAAGUGUCAAGUGAUAUGGGGGUGUUCCGCGCCUCAAUUUCCUGGCGUCACGAAAUAAAUCAAUCACGGCUGGGGAGCCCGCCCCCAAGGGUUUAAAUAAAAGGGAUUGGGGGGGACCCGCCCCAACGGUGGAGCAUGGGGUUUAAUUUGAAGCAAAGGGAAGAACCUUACCAAAUUUUGACAUCCUUUGACCACUUUAAAGAAAGAGCUUUUCCCUUUGGGGGACAAAAAAACCGGUGGUGCCUGGUUGUUGUCAGUUUUUGUUUUGAGAUGUUGGGUUAAGUCCCGCAAAGAGCGCAACCCCUAAGUUUAGUUGCCAUCAUUAAGUUGGGCCCUUUAAGUUGAACCCCGGUGACAAACCGGAGGAAGGUGGGGASGACGUCAAAUCCUCCUKCCCCUUUUAAUUUGGGGGACCCCCCUGGUCCAAUGGGCAAAACAAAGGGCAGUUAAACCCCGAGGUCCAGCAAAUUCCAUAAAGUUGUUUUCCGUUUGGAUUGUAGUUUGCAAAUUGAUUACCUGAAGCGGGAAUCGUUUGUAAUUGUAGAUCAGCCUGUUUCGGUGAAUACGUUCCCGGGUUUUGUACCCCCCCCCCGUCACACCCCCAGAGGUUUAACCACCGAAGCCCGUGGGGCAACCAAUGGUGUUACGGCGCCCCCGGAGUGUCCCCCU
rnacentral:rRNA from 1 species